UAUGGUGACUAUAGCGAGGGGGAUCACCUUUCCCCAUUUCGAACAAAGAAGUUAAGCCCCUCAGCGCUGAUGGUACUGCAGUUAAAUGUGGGAGAGUAGGUCAUCGCCAUUU
rnacentral:rRNA from 1 species